CUCUCCCCUUUGGUUUUGCGGCGAAAAUUGGUGGUCCGUUCGAACCGAGGGGCCGAGGGCGUCCGGGCAUUCCGGCCACUUCUUGGACCUUGUGCGUGGUGCCAAAGGCUACGCGCAGAGUGGAGCGUAGAGUGCGAAUGGUAGAGAGAUCUAUCAUCAUCAUCAUCCCAGUAGACCUCGCCGCGGCAGUUCCAUGAAGACAUCAAAGGUGAAAAGUGAACUGCGCGGAUGAGACCACCGUAAACCGCAACCGUGUCCGCGAGUGUAUUCAUCAGAUCGCGCGUGCGUGCGUGUGUGUGUGUGUGUGCGACCGUUUGUCUGUGUGUGUGUGUGCUCGAGUGCGUGGGUGCACGGCACAAGAAAAGCGAAUAGAAAAUGAAGCUUCCGUGGAUGUAGCGUGGCGAGUGGCGAGUGAGCUUGAACCAGCCCCAAACCAGCUUGAAGCUGUCGAGCAGAGUAGGCUGCUUACGGUGUGUGUGUGUGUGUGUGUGUGCCUGUGUGCCGUAGCACCGGAAAUCGGAUAACAUAUUAUGCUGCGCAAAAAAGUAAAUGACGGAAAACGGUGGCACGAAUCUAACGACGAGCAGCAGCAACAGCAGCAACAGUGAGUGAGUAAGUGGCUAGGAGUGUUGUAGGUGGACACACACACUCCCGCUCACAUACACAGUAGUGCUGUGCAAGUGCUGUGAGGAGGAGCAGCAGCAUCAGAGCACCUCUACUCGGCCUACUUGGUGUUUCGCUCAAGGUGCCUCACCGUCCACCAUCUGCCCUUGGCAAAAGGCGGCAAGUAAUUGUCCAUCGGCCCGAAAAUCCGCGUACGUUCAUCUUUGUGUGUGUGUGUGUUUAUUUGCGAGUUGGUGCGUGUGCCUGCGUAUGUGUGUAGAUGUGUAUUCCGGACAUCAAGGCCGUUACUGCCACGCCAAACCGAGUACCAGGCAUCAAAGAUCUCCUGUGAACCGGAAGCGAGGAAGCACUGAACUGGUCGAUCCAGCAUUCCAGAGCUCAACAAACUACUCCAG